rnacentral:rRNA from 1 species
GCGACGGGUGAGUACACGUGGGCAAUCUGCCCUUCACUCUGGGACAAGCCCUGGAAACGGGGUCUAAUACCGGAUACUGACCCUCGCAGGCAUCUGCGAGGUUCGAAAGCUCCGGCGGUGAAGGAUGAGCCCGCGGCCUAUCAGCUUGUUGGUGAGGUAAUGGCUCACCAAGGCGACGACGGGUAGCCGGCCUGAGAGGGCGACCGGCCACACUGGGACUGAGACACGGCCCAGACUCCUACGGGAGGCAGCAGUGGGGAAUAUUGCACAAUGGGCGAAAGCCUGAUGCAGCGACGCCGCGUGAGGGAUGACGGCCUUCGGGUUGUAAACCUCUUUCAGCAGGGAAGAAGCGAAAGUGACGGUACCUGCAGAAGAAGCGCCGGCUAACUACGUGCCAGCAGCCGGGGGUAAUACG